rnacentral:rRNA from 1 species
CGGACGGGUGAGUAACACGUGGAUAACCUACCUAUAAGACUGGGAUAACUUCGGGGAACCGGAGCUAAUACCGGAUAAUAUAUUGAACCGCAUGGUUCAAUAGUGAAAGACGGUUUUGCUGUCACUUAUAGAUGGAUCCGCGCCGCAUUAGCUAGUUGGUAAGGUAACGGCUUACCAAGGCAACGAUGCGUAGCCGACCUGAGAGGGUGAUCGGCCACACUGGAACUGAGACACGGUCCAG